rnacentral:lncRNA from 1 species
UCUCUCGCAGCUCCUCCUGCUGAAUCUGCCCGCGCCGGUGCCACCAAGGUCAAUGCCUGGGUUGACUUAGCAGGCGUCACUGAGCUCUUCAGCCUGCGUUUGCCAUUUCCAAGUUUAACCGUGUUUCACUGCCCUCUCCUGGAGCCAGAGGUUGAAUGCUGCAUUUUAGACCCUUCACUGCAGCAUUAGCAAAGAUUAAUUUCAUGUGACGGCAAAGAGGGAAGACUACUGCUCCUUCAGACCUGAGCCUGUGAGACGGACAGAGAAGAGGUGGGAAGGUCUCUGAUGGAUUUCCCCACGCUGUUGCUAGGAGAUGAAGAUACUGCCUAACAAAGGAUAUAUUGACAACAAAAAAAUUUUCCAGAGCAAAUCUAUCUCGUUAUGGAGAAAGAAAAAGGAGCCAAGGAGAACGUCGUCCCCUUCAUUUCCCUACAUGCAUGGUUGGGACCGACAACUUGAACUUGUGCCAGCACUACUGCAUCCCUUCCUCCAAAGCCACACGUUGGGCUGGUGGCAUCUCCUGCCUGCAUCAGCUGGCCCAGGUGGCCACCAAGAGCUUAGAUCAGAGCAGCAGGUGCGAUGA